rnacentral:rRNA from 1 species
AACGAACGCUGGCGGCGUGCCUAACACAUGCAAGGCGAACGUGAUUGAGAGCUUGCUCUCAUGAAAGUGGCGCACGGGUGAGUAACCCGUUGACAAUCUACCUGGUGAUCCGGGAUAACACCUCGAAAGGGGUGCUAAUACCUGAUAAGCCCACGGGGUCUUCGGACUCUGCGGGAAAACGGGGGGGACCUUUAGGCCUGCCGUCAUAAGAUGAGUCUGCGUACCACUAGCUAGUUGGUAGGGUAAAGGCCUACCAAGGGGACGAGUGUUAGCUGGUAGGAGAGGAUGAUCAGCCAAACUGGAACUGGGAAACGGUCCAGACUCCUGCGGGAGGGAGCAGUGGGGAAUUGUGCGCAAUGGGGGAAACCCUGACGCAGGAACGCCGCGUGAGUGAUGAAGGCCCUUGGGUCGUAAAGCUCUGACAGAGGGAAAGAAGUGCAGGGGAGCUAAUAUCUGCUUUGCUUGACGGUACCCUCAAAGGAAGCACCGGCUAACUCCGUGCCAGCCGCCGCGGUAACAC